rnacentral:lncRNA from 1 species
CCAACACCCAGCAAGCAGCGGGUCACCCAUUGCUCAGAGGCUCCAGCCACAUCUCCAGAGCUCAGAGUGCAGCCAGGCUACCUGCUUGUCUUCUUUCUAGCUGUGUGACCAGGAAGCACUGCCUCCCUCUCUGUCUCCACAGCCUCAUCGGUAAAUGCGGGGGAAUAACAAAGUGUUCCUUAGACAGAGCCCUG